rnacentral:tRNA from 1 species
CAAAGUGUAGCUUAAACAAAGCGUCUGGCCUACGCCCAGAAGAUCUCAAUAAAUUGACCACUUUGA